rnacentral:rRNA from 1 species
UGGGGAAUAUUGCACAAUGGGGGAAACCCUGAUGCAGCGACACCGCGUGAGCGAAGAAGGUUUUCGAAUCGUAAAGCUCUGUCCUAUGAGAAGAUAAUGACGGUAUCAUAGGAGGAAGCCCCGGCUAAAUACGUGCCAGCAGCCGCGGUAAUACGUAUGGGGCGAGCGUUGUCCGGAAUUAUUGGGCGUAAAGGGUACGUAGGCGGUCUAUUAAGUCAGGUGUGAAAGCGUGAGGCUUAACCUCAUUAAGCACUUGAAACUGAUAGACUUGAGUGAAGGAGAGGAAAGUGGAAUUCCUAGUGUAGCGGUGAAAUGCGUAGAUAUUAGGAGGAAUACCGGUGGCGAAGGCGACUUGCUGGACUUCAACUGACGCUGAGGAACGAAAGCGUGGGUAGCAAACAGG